GACCUCGGAUCAGGUAGGGAUACCCGCUGAACUUAAGCAUAUCAAUAAGCGGAGGAAAAGAAACCAACAGGGAUUGCCCUAGU
rnacentral:rRNA from 1 species